GGGAAGUAAAAGUCGUAACAAGGUUUCCGUAGGUGAACCUGCGGAAGGAUCAUUAAAAAAUGGGACUCUUUAAUGAGUUCAUUAAUAAUCCCUACCCUUUGUGAAUUUGUUGUUUGAAAUAAUUUUUUUCCAAAAAAAAAAUUAUUGAAUGUCUUUCCCUGUUUUGGUGGAGCUGUAAAGUGAAACCAUACAGGGGAAUGGCAAACAAUAAUUAUUUUUGAAAAAAGACCUUUUUUUAAAUUAAACUUUUUGUAUUCAUUUGUCUAAAAUUAUUUUUAUAAUAUAAAAACAACUUUUGACAAUGGAUCUCUUGGUUCUCGCAACGAUGAAGAACGCAGCAAAAUGCGAUAAGUAGUGUGAAUUGCAGAAUACGUGAAUCAUCGAAUCUUCGAACGCAUAUUGCACUUUUUUGGUUUACCAAAAAAGUAUGUCUGUUUGAGUAUCGGUAAAAUAUUCUCAUAAAAACUAUUGUUUUUAUGGUUAUGAGUGUUUUACAACGAUAAACAAGUUGUUUCACUUUAAAUUCUUUGUCUUUUAAAAAAUCAUUAAAAAACUGAUUUUUUUUUAAAAUUGGAUAAAAUUUUCCCGUAAAAAGGAAUAACCUUAACAAUUUUAAUAAUUAAUUAGUUUGAUUUUUUAAAAGAUCUUAAAGGAAAAAAGUAAAAAUUAACUUGAUCUCAAAUCAGAUAAGAGUACCCGCUGAACUUAAGCAUAUCAAUAAGCGGAGGAAAAGAAACUAACUAGGAUUCCCUCAGUAACGGCGAGUGAAGCGGGAAGAGCUCAAAUUUGAAAUCUUCAAGGUUCUACCUUGACGAAUUGUAGUUUAAAGAAGUGUUUUCUGUUGGAGUUUUGGUAAAAGUUCUUUGGAAUAGGACAUCAUAGAGGGUGAGAAUCCCGUAUUUGACCAUUAUUUCCAACUUUGUGAUACACUUUCAAAGAGUCGGAUUGUUUGGGAAUGCAGUCCAAAAUGGGUGGUAAAUUUCAUCUAAAGCUAAAUACUGGCGAGAGACCGAUAGCGAACAAGUACCGUGAGGGAAAGAUGAAAGGAACUUUGAAAAGAGAGUUAAACAGUACGUGAAAUUGUCAAAGGGAAGCGUUUGACACCAGUGUUGUUUUCUCGAAAAUCAAUUAAAAAUGGUGGGAUUUUGUGUUGUAUUGACUUUAUCAGCUUUCUGCACUUUUUUCCUGUCUUUUUUAAUGCACUUUUCGUUUAACAAGUCAACAUCAAUUUCUUUUGUUGUAAAAGGGUCAUUGGAAGGUGGCUUUCUUUUCGGAGAAAGUGUUUAUAGCCUUUGGCCUCUGCAAUCGGAGAGAUUGAGGUCUGCAGCGUAGAUCCUUCGGGGUUAGAUGCAUUUGUGCUAAGCUAUAGCCUUUCAUAGACAACUUGUUGACUAUGAUCAGUCAUGUAGCUUACUCGCUUAUGUCAUUUUACCUACGCUUAGGGUUGA
rnacentral:misc_RNA from 1 species